rnacentral:rRNA from 1 species
GACGAACGCUGGCGGCAGGCUUAACACAUGCAAGUCGAGCGGAGAUGAGGUGCUUGCACCUUAUCUUAGCGGCGGACGGGUGAGUAAUGCUUAGGAAUCUGCCUAUUAGUGGGGGACAACAUUCCGAAAGGAAUGCUAAUACCGCAUACGUCCUACGGGAGAAAGCAGGGGAUCUUCGGACCUUGCGCUAAUAGAUGAGCCUAAGUCGGAUUAGCCAGUUGGUGGGGUAAAGGCCUACCAAGGCGACGAUCUGUAGCGGGUCUGAGAGGAUGAUCCGGCAACAUGGGACUGAGACACGGCCCAGACUCCUACGGGAGGCAGCAGUGGGGAAUAUUGGACAAUGGGGGAAACCCUGAUCCAGCCAUGCCGCGUGUGUGAAGAAGGCCUUAUGGUUGUAAAGCACUUUAAGCGAGGAGGAGGCUACUGAGACUAAUACUCUUGGAUAGUGGACGUUACUCGCAGAAUAAGCACCGGCUAACUCUGUGCCAGCCGCCGCGGUAA